rnacentral:tRNA from 1 species
GCCCCGGUAGCUAAGCCAGGUUAUAGCGGUGGCCUUGUAAGCCACCGGUCGUGGGUUCAAAUCCCACCCGGGGCUCCA